CGACCCGGAAGUGAAACAACGAGGACAUUCUCUAGCAGACGACACGAACUAAGUUUCCAACAAAAUCCUCUCCGUUUGGUCGUUUUACAGUGUUAUCGCAGUUCCAGAGGUAUGUCCGCGGCAACGACAACAGUAAGAACUUGGUGGAGAAAGCAGUCCAUUAUUACGAAAAUAUCAUGUGGUAUCGUAGGAACUGCUUUUGCUGCUUACCUUGCUGGUAUAGACAUCAGUCCUGGAAACCACUACCGUAGGAAAAAACUGGCUGAACAGGCAGAGCAGAAAGCAGAGCAGCAUAGACAGGAGGCAGUCAGCGUUCCUAGAAAACCAACAAAAUGGGACACUUGAAGGAACAGCCCGCGACGAUGAUGAUGAAGGAACUAGACACAGAACGGGAGAAUUGCACAAGAACUGGAGCAAGAGAUAGAAAAACAAUGUUUGGAAACAGACUGGAGAUGCACAACCUGGAAGUGUUGCUUCAAGUAGGGUUUGACUAAAAUUUAUAAUAAAGACACCAUACCUCGGACCAUUGAUACUUAA